AGAGAGAGAGAGAGAGAGAGAGAGAGAGAGAGAACACAUAAGACACUUCAUGGGAUAAAAGAUUGAAUUUACAAGUGAAAAAUAGCCACACAUACAAUUCCAACUGUCUAAAUUGGAAGCCGGUUGCAUCCCACAUUUUUAAUUAAUAACAGUUCUGCUAUUCACAAGAACUCAAAUGGGAUUAAUGGUAGUGAGUAUGUGAUAAUCCCAAUUCCAAGUGGAGCUGUGAAGCAGGCUGUGGACACAGAUGUCGUGGGUACACACCUCUGUGCAAAGGUGUUUUUAAACUACCAUGAAUGAAAGGCACAUCCAGGGUCCAAGAACUGUGAAGACAGAUGACCUACUCACAUCUUAAAAGACAACGCUCAUCCCAACGGGACAAGGAACCGUGGAGGGUAGGCUAGAAAGUGAGUUCAGCUUCUCAGCUGGGCUCUCAGGCAGUCUUAGGUGUGGAUCCCAGUCCUAACCCCAGCUGAGUGAUGCUGGGUGGUUCUGAUUCCUUCUGUAAGCCACAGUAGAUUGCUAAUAAGUGGAGAUACAUCAAUCAUGUCUAUUCCUCAGACGUGUGCUGAGGAUAAAAGAAGAUGAUGUAUGUGAAGAGUACAUGUCCUGCCACAACCCAAUCCCUCAAUGACUAUUCUGCUCACCUGUGGCAAUAACCAGGCACAAUGGAAGGGGACUGAUAAUUUGAGAAGGUUCAAAAAUAAACUGCUGACUCUGCCUUGAGUGAUUGAUUCAA